AUUAUGGUAACCACUAGCCACUUGUGACUACUGAGUAUCUGAAAGGUUCUGCUUGAAUUCUUGCCCUGGCUCUUGGUGAAGGGUCGGCCUGCUGGAUCUGAGUCAUCCACCUAUAAGAGGGACACCACCAAACAUUGGUCACUGCUCUCAAGCCCCUGGAACACCACCCCACUUGGCUUCUCCUGAGAUGGGCUCUCACUACAGCGCUGUUCUGGAACUCCUGGGCUCAAGCUAUCCUCCCACUUUGGCCUCCCCAAAAUGCUGGGAUUACAGGCGUGAACCACCACAUCUAACCUAAAAUUAUAUUGUUAAAAGACUUUGUUUCUCAGUUUGGGAUAAUCAGAACUCAUAGUUCUGAUCUCAGCUACCAAUUUUAAUGAGGUGCUUCUUUCUAAUUCCAUCAGCUGUCUGGCCGUCUGCAGAUAUCACCCACAUAAACAAAAACUUUUUGGGAGUCCUCCAGAAUUUUUAAGAGUUAUCUAAACUAUUGCCUUUAAUGACCAGGAACUCCAAUUUGAGAAGUGUUACCCUACGUUAAGCCAACAGCAGCCUGGCUCCUUCAUGCUGUGCAGUAUGG
rnacentral:lncRNA from 1 species